GCUACACGAUGACCAACCCCCCAAAAGGACCCCCCAGCCUGGUAUAUAUGCGGCUGGGGGGAGAAGGGGGAGGGUAAGCAAGAACUUCCAGAGCAUUCUCUUACUUGCUGCUAUUAUCUCUCCUUCUCCUCCAAUCUCCUCUGACUUGAUCGUCGGAGGGCCCCCACUACCCCAGUGGUGGUGCGAGGCUUGCUUGCAGGUUUCCCGGUGGAAGGUGGAGCGCAAUCAACACCAAUCAAGGCAACUCAAACGGAACCCCGUUCACACCGCUGUGCCAAUCGUUCUCGGUUUGGACCACCAGCAACAGUUGGCACUAGAGGAAGGGCCCGAAUCUCAGAGCGAUCGUAAUGGCACGGCGAGGUGGUCGUGGAGCUUCCAAUGCCUCCAGUCGCGGGGCCUCUCGCGCCUCCGGCCGGGAGGCCGCUGCGUCUCCAAUACAUUCUCAGCAACACUCCACCGCUCCACCUCCCAUUCAGAUGGUCGAAGCCGCUCAGUUCGACCAGUUAGCCCAGCAGGUUCGCACCCUCGCGGAGGCAGUGCAGAACCUGCAGGGUGUGAUGUCUCGGGUGCCG
rnacentral:lncRNA from 1 species